rnacentral:rRNA from 1 species
GAGUUUGAUUCUGGCUCAGGAUGAACGCUGGCGGCGUGCUUAACACAUGCAAGUCGAACGGAGCACCCCUGAACAAGUUUUCGGACAAGGGAUGGGACUGCUUAGUGGCGGACGGGUGAGUAACGCGUGAGUAACCUGCCUUGGAGUGGGGAAUAACAGUUGGAAACGGCUGCUAAUACCGCAUGAAGCAACUAGGUCGCAUGGCCUUGGUUGCCAAAGAUUUAUCGCUCUGAGAUGGACUCGCGUCUGAUUAGCUAGUUGGUGAGGUAACGGCCCACCAAGGCGACGAUCAGUAGCCGGACUGAGAGGUUGACCGGCCACAUUGGGACUGAGACACGGCCCAGACUCCUACGGGAGGCAGCAGUGGGGAAUAUUGGGCAAUGGGCGCAAGCCUGACCCAGCAACGCCGCGUGAAGGAAGAAGGCUUUCGGGUUGUAAACUUCUUUUCUGAGGGAAGAUAAUGACG